UCGAUGGUUGCCUCCUGGAUCGCGGGGGGCUGUGGUUGGCCGGCGUGGUGGCCGUUCUGCUUCGUCUGCCAUGGUGUCCGCUCGGGCCGUAUGUAUGGAGCAUGCUCCGCCGUCUGAUGAUCGGCCGUUGUGUUGGGGUGGCCUCUCUGUACGGUCUUCGAGCUCUCCAUGCAUGUGGCCGCUCUGUACAGCCUUCCGGUUCUGGACGCGCGGCGGAUUUUGUGGUGCGAUCUGGGUUUUGUUCUCUGUCGUCGGACUCUUCUGUUGGUGGUUCUUGUGGGCAGCGGAGGGAGGAGAUUCGGUUGGGAAAGCAGGCCUGUUGAUCCCACUCUCAAUCGACGACGAGCAGCAGAGAAGCAAACCGGCGAAGCGAGCAGCACAUCGGGGGAGGUGGUCACCUGCAAGUCAACCGCGCGACGGGUGAGCAGAGCGGCUCGCACCCGCGCCAGGGGAAAACGAGGGGGCCGGAGCCGUUGAUUGUGCACGGCAGCGGAAGACGGGGGGACGAGGCGCUCUGCUACAUCCGCGGCCAGAGGGUGGAUGUAGAUCACGAAGGAGCGGGAGCAAUUCGGUGAUGAAAAACAUGAGCACGGAAACGCAAAUCACACGGCCAAGCAAAACACACGAGGAUGGCUAGCUGCUACCAGCCACGGGAUGAGAGCAAUGGGUUUGAGAGAUGCAGCAUACUCAAGGCCGACAAGGGAUUUUUCACGAAGGCGUGUUCCUUUUUGCGAGCAGGAUCGGGCUGUGCAGCAUACUGUUGUUGCUACUGCGCAGGUUGCUUGCCCGUUUUGAAUUCUGUAUUGCUGAUCUACAUGGAGGAAUGUAUCAUCAAUGAGGCCACUUCCUCAUGUCAUGAGAUGAAGAGAAGAUUGCAUGGAUGAUAGCUAUCAUAUGUAGAUAGAGCACAGUUGGUGUUAAAAUUAAUAAUGUUUUUCUAUGUAAUUUCUGAUAUCUUCAUGGCAAGUCUCAAAGUUAAGAUUGUACAUGCUAAUACUUGAUAUGUAUUUUCUGGACUUAAUAUUUGAUGUUGUCAUGGAGUACACAUUUUCGAUAAACAUGGUGUUAAAUUUUCAGAGAUAUUGAUUCAAUUCAUGGCCAUCAAAUUUGAUAUCCAGUAAUUCACUUUUCUUCCGGAGGUUCUCCAUCAUUAUAUACACAACCAAUCCAGUUACACAUCAGACAUUAAAAGGAAAAAAAGCUAUGGUUCCAUAAA